rnacentral:misc_RNA from 1 species
AAUUCUCAACCCAUCCAGCUUUGUUAAGUUGGUAUGUGGCUUGGAUGUGGGGGUUUUGUGCAGGUCUCAGUAGAGAUCAGCUCCCCUGAAAUGUAUUAGCGGAACGGUUUGCGAUCUGUCACUGGUGUGAUAAUUAUCUACGCCAAAGAUGAUGAACGCUCUAUCAGUUCAGCUUACAACAGUCCUCUGUGGACAACUUUUGAAU